rnacentral:rRNA from 1 species
GUUGUAUGGUUAAGUGACUAAGCGUACACGGUGGAUGCCUUGGCAGUCAGAGGCGAUGAAAGACGUAGUAACUUGCGAUAAGCCCAGAUUAGGUAGUAACAACCAUUUGAGUCUGGGAUUUCUGAAUGGGGAAACCCACGUGCAUAAGCACGUAUCCUUACCUGAAUACAUAGGGUAAGGAGGCGAACCGGGGGAACUGAAACAUCUAAGUACCCCGAGGAAAAGAAAUCAACCGAGAUUCCGAAAGUAGCGGCGAGCGAAAUUGGACUAGCCCUUAAGCUUUACACGCGUUAGACGAACGGUCUGGAAAGUCCGACGAUACAGGGUGAUAGUCCCGUAGUUGACGACGUGUGUUCAGUGAAAUCGAGUAGGGCGGGACACGUGAUAUCCUGUCUGAAUAUGGGGGGACCAUCCUCCAAGGCUAAAUACUACUGACUGACCGAUAGUGAACCAGUACCGUGAGGGAAAGGCGAAAAGAACCCCUGUGAGGGGAGUGAAAUAGAACCUGAAACCGUGUACGUACAAGCAGUAGGAGCAGGCUUUGUCCUGUGACUGCGUACCUUUUGUAUAAUGGGUCAGCGACUUAUAUUCAGUGGCAAGGUUAACCAUCUAGGGGAGCCGUAGGGAAACCGAGUCUUAACUGGGCGUUCAGUCUCUGGAUAUAGACCCGAAACCAGGUGAUCUAGCCAUGGGCAGGUUGAAGGUUGAGUAACAUCAACUGGAGGACCGAACCGACUAAUGUUGAAAAAUUAGCGGAUGACUUGUGGCUAGGGGUGAAAGGCCAAUCAAACCUGGAGAUAGCUGGUUCUCCCCGAAAGCUAUUUAGGUAGCGCCUCGGACGAAUACUACUGGGGGUAGAGCACUGUUAAGGCUAGGGGGUCAUCCCGACUUACCAACCCUUUGCAAACUCCGAAUACCAGUAAGUACUAUCCGGGAGACACACGGCGGGUGCUAACGUCCGUCGUGGAGAGGGAAACAACCCAGACCGCCAGCUAAGGUCCCAAAUUACUACUAAGUGGGAAACGAUGUGGGAAGGCUCAGACAGCCAGGAUGUUGGCUUAGAAGCAGCCAUCAUUUAAAGAAAGCGUAAUAGCUCACUGGUCGAGUCGGCCUGCGCGGAAGAUGUAACGGGGCUAAGUAGUAAACCGAAGCUGCGGCAAUAUACUUUUGUAUAUUGGGUAGGGGAGCGUUCUGUAAGCGGUUGAAGGUGUGUGGUAACGCAUGCUGGACGUAUCAGAAGUGCGAAUGCUGACAUGAGUAACGAUAAAGGGGGUGAAAAACCUCCUCGCCGGAAGACCAAGGGUUCCUGUCCAACGUUAAUCGGGGCAGGGUAAGUCGACCCCUAAGGCGAGGCCGAAAGGCGUAGUCGAUGGGAAACGGGUUAAUAUUCCCGUACUUCUUACAAUUGCGAUGGGGGGACGGAGAAGGCUAGGUGGGCCUGGCGACGGUUGUCCAGGUUCAAGUGCGUAGGCUUAAGAGUUAGGUAAAUCCGGCUCUUUCUAAGGCUGAGACACGACGUCGAGCACCUACGGGUGUGAAGUCAUUGAUGCCAUGCUUCCAGGAAAAGCCUCUAAGCUUCAGAUUGUAAGGAAUCGUACCCCAAACCGACACAGGUGGUCGGGUAGAGAAUACCAAGGCGCUUGAGAGAACUCGGGUGAAGGAACUAGGCAAAAUGGUACCGUAACUUCGGGAGAAGGUACGCUCUCGACGGUGAAGUCCCUCGCGGAUGGAGCUAUUGAGAGUCGCAGAUACCAGGUGGCUGCAACUGUUUAUUAAAAACACAGCACUGUGCAAAAUCGUAAGAUGACGUAUACGGUGUGACGCCUGCCCGGUGCCGGAAGGUUAAUUGAUGGGGUUAGACUUCGGUCGAAGCUCUUGAUCGAAGCCCCGGUAAACGGCGGCCGUAACUAUAACGGUCCUAAGGUAGCGAAAUUCCUUGUCGGGUAAGUUCCGACCUGCACGAAUGGCGUAAUGAUGGCCACGCUGUCUCCACCCGAGACUCAGUGAAAUUGAAAUCGCUGUGAAGAUGCAGUGUACCCGCGGCUAGACGGAAAGACCCCGUGAACCUUUACUACAGCUUGGCACUGAACAUUGACCCUACAUGUGUAGGAUAGGUGGGAGGCUUUGAAGCACGUACGCCAGUAUGUGUGGAGCCGUCCUUGAAAUACCACCCUUGUAGUGUUGAUGUUCUAACGUCGACCCCUUAUCGGGGUUGCGGACAGUGCCUGGUGGGUAGUUUGACUGGGGCGGUCUCCUCCCAAAGAGUAACGGAGGAGCACGAAGGUGGGCUAAUCACGGUUGGACAUCGUGAGGUUAGUGCAAUGGCAUAAGCCCGCUUGACUGCGAGAAUGACAAUUCGAGCAGGUGCGAAAGCAGGUCAUAGUGAUCCGGUGGUUCUGAAUGGAAGGGCCAUCGCUCAACGGAUAAAAGGUACUCCGGGGAUAACAGGCUGAUACCGCCCAAGAGUUCAUAUCGACGGCGGUGUUUGGCACCUCGAUGUCGGCUCAUCACAUCCUGGGGCUGAAGUCGGUCCCAAGGGUAUGGCUGUUCGCCAUUUAAAGUGGUACGCGAGCUGGGUUUAGAACGUCGUGAGACAGUUCGGUCCCUAUCUGCCGUGGGCGUUGGAAGAUUGAAGGGGGCUGCUCCUAGUACGAGAGGACCGGAGUGGACGAACCUCUGGUGUUCGGGUUGUGUCGCCAGACGCAUUGCCCGGUAGCUAAGUUCGGAAUCGAUAACCGCUGAAAGCAUCUAAGCGGGAAGCGAGCCCUGAGAUGAGUCUUCCCUGAUACUUUAAGUAUCCUAAAGGGUUGUCGGAGACUACGACGUUGAUAGGUCAGGUGUGUAAGUGCUGUGAGGCAUUGAGCUAACUGAUACUAAUUGCCCGUGAGGCUUAACCAUACAACACCCAAGGGGUUU